AGCGAACGCUGGCGGCAGGCUUAACACAUGCAAGUCGGACGCCCGUAGCAAUACGGGAGUGGCAGACGGGUGAGUAACGCGUGGGAACGUGCCCUUUAGUUCGGAACAACCCAGGGAAACUUGGGCUAAUACCGGAUACGCCCUUUGGGGGAAAGAUUUAUCGCUAAAGGAUCGGCCCGCGUCUGAUUAGCUUGUUGGUGAGGUAACGGCUCACCAAGGCGACGAUCAGUAGCUGGUCUGAGAGGAUGAUCAGCCACACUGGGACUGAGACACGGCCCAGACUCCUACGGGAGGCAGCAGUGGGGAAUAUUGGACAAUGGGCGCAAGCCUGAUCCAGCCAUGCCGCGUGAGUGAUGAAGGCCCUAGGGUUGUAAAGCUCUUUUGUGCGGGAAGAUAAUGACGGUACCGCAAGAAUAAGCCCCGGCUAACUUCGUGCCAGCCGCCGCAGUAACAC
rnacentral:rRNA from 1 species